CACACUUGGGACCAAUUAAGAUCCUUCCAGAAGGCAGUGGAGAUAGCUACAUUGAUUGGGACACCUGAAGCCAAUCAAGGGCUGGCUGGAACUAGUUAAAAGCCUCCCAGUUAGUCAGUGACAUGCAGGUGUCAGGAGCAGUGCUGCUGGAGGAAUGAAGCAGUACAAAUCCAUAUCAAGUGUAAGGAAAGAGGCCCUGAGAGCUAGAAAAAGGAGCAACACACAACUGAGGCGUUUUUCCCCUUUCGAACGGGACCCAGAACUCACUUCUAGUUCUACAAGGUAGCAAUGCAGGCUAUUGGGAGGGGGAAAGAGGAGAAUUACUCUACCAAUAUCCAACAUCAGCCGAGUCAUCUCACAGAAUUACACAUACAAGGUUUCUCCAAUGAAUGCAAUGUGAAAAUACCAACCCACUAAAAGUUGCAUGCUACUAGUGAAUCUGGUUUUGUUAAACUUUAGAUGGAAAAUAUUGGCGACAAAAUUUCAUCAGAUUGCAGGCUCCUCAGGACAGUCUCAUUUAUUUAAGCACACAAAUAGCUAAAUUCUAGGCUCAGCUCUGCCAUUCAGCCACUCCGCGUAAUCUUGGCAUAGUCAAAUGACCUUUCCCAUUCUCUCUGUUUCCUCAUCUGUAAUUGAAGGAUAAUACUGACGGACCUAUUUCAAUCCCAUUUUGAGAUUCAGUUCUUAUGUAUUACUUUGAAAAUGUAAAGUACUGGAAAAAAUAUACAUAUUUGAUUGACUGAACAUUCCAUCCCAAAUACAUGCUUUACUGACCCGAACCUCUACAUACCACCACUAAUGACACUGUGGAUUUGAAAACUAGAAACUAUAACAUUAUAAUAAAUCUUUAUUCCCAUUUUCCAUGGCCUUAUCAUGAGUGCAUAUGUUUUGGUUUUCAGUCAAUCAUCACAGAUAAGUGUUAUAUA